UCUAGCAAUCACGCCGUUUCUCGCUUUCUAUAGCGUAGGCGCUGUAUAGCAUUGCCAGAUCUGUUUGGCAGGCAGAAUUCCGUCAAUUCUGAUCCUACGCGUGAACCAUCAUCGGGUUCACGCUUUCAGGCUGAUCGACAAGCCAGCGCAUGCUUCCUGUGGAUCUUUUUUUUGUGCUCUAACCGCUUCCCCGAGAGCAGUAGUUUCUAGUGUACGGAGCCCAAAACAUGUGAAAUCUAAAAUUCCCUACUGUACCGUCGUCGACGCCGGCGCCACAGCGGAGCUGGCCGCAACGAAAAAGCUCGCAAAGUGCGCGUGGCUAAAGCCACGAUACAGCUUUAUGGCUGCAGCUCCCGAGAUAUAUCGACCUUGGAGAGACGGAACCACGAAGCUGGUCGAUAAAGCAGGACACAAUAUAACAGCCGCUACAGGACAACCACCUGAGCAAGAAUUCUUCCGGCAGCGGAAUAUCCAGAUUCAAAGAGACAACGCGUUGUGUGUCAUGGGCACAACACGGACCACGAAAAAUUAGAGGAAAUACUUUAGUGUGGCCUCUUCUUAAGUGCUGUUGUCUGCAGUAAGUAGUUGCUCGCUAAAAUGAAUUAAUAAAUAGUUUUGCGUGUUGAAGUAACAAAAACGCUGACUGAACAACCCCGCCCACUCCACAUGCCGAUGGCGAAUGGCAAUUGCACAGUCUUCAAAUAUUUCACAGGCAUCGUUCGCUGUGACAGACCACAUGUUAAAUUUGAAAUUUUUAUUAGUGUAAAACCGCGCAGGCGCAUUAUUAUAUGUACUGACUGUUGUCGAAUAAAAAUGACUUGUGCUAAAUGUGUAGAACGGCAUAACUACUAAGUCAGCCCUGCUGCUCACUCAAUGCGCGCAGACGCGGCGCAGUUAACGUAUGGGUCCCCGAAUUCUAGAGUAGAAGACACGUUUUUCUGGUUUCUACAAUAGUCGCAAUAUUUAUUUGAGAAUGAUGAACCAUUCAACAGUUUAAAUGCAAGUCUCGAUGUCAAGAAAUCGAUUGGAAGUUUGGCAAUAACGAUUUGUUGCAUUGUUCCGGCGCGCCAUGCGCAAGGUCCGCCAGGGUUUUUGCAAAGAUGAAGAUUGUUAUAUAUAUUGUCGUUCAGACUUCUAGCUGUCUCCGGUGGAAAGAUUGUACCAGUACUAAUAAUUUUGCAGGCUAAAAACAGGAUGAUUUGAAUCAAAUGGCCUAAUGCCUUAGUGGGUGUUGGAUAACAGGGCUGUGGAAUGUGGAUAGCGUUUGUGCCAGAUCCACACCAGUUACUCCAGAUGUCUGUACAUGACUAUGGAUAAUUUCCAUUACUUCGUGCUGUAAAGCAUUUAAGCAGGAGGUAUACUCCAUCUGGAGCGCUUCCAGUUUGCUAACUGGCCCCAGUUAGCUGAAGGUUGACAUACUUUAGAGCUUCAGUUGUCUUCCAGCUUCGGUUGCAGUAUAAACAACCCUCAGCUUGUCUGCAACCGAGGGCGACUGCACUUGCUCCGGUUCGAAACUGACAUCAAAACUAAUGAAAUGAACGUGUUCAAUUUUUAUUGUGUACUGGAGCCCGCGCUGAAUUUCUUUUUGUAGCAUUUGAUAAUAAUUUUGAUUGCGCAUGGUUCUAGAUCGAAUUUCUCUUGUAAAAACGUUUCUGAUUAUUCCUGAUCUCUGGACUCAUACUUUAUUCAAUUUAUUCCGUUUUGUGGAUUUGGCUUUUCUCCACAAUAUCAGCAUCUUGUAGUUUGCGCUGCAUGCGUUUUCUUUUAGUCGUUUUUAUUAGUACGUGUACAAAAUGCCUCGAGCGCCUGCGCAGCCCAACUCCAAGCGCGCCGUUUUGAACAAAUUCACUGAUGCCGAAUCGGAAAACCUUCUUGCUUUUGUGAAAGUGAAUCGAUCGCUCUGGGAUACAAAGUCGAAAGAGUAUAUUGAUACAAAGAGCAAGGUGGACGUAUGGAAUGCAAUCGCUCAGUUGAUCGGAGAAUCCAAAACAGGCGACGACUGUAAAAACCAGUAUAACAACCUGCGCAGUACUUUCCAAAAAAAGUGGAAAAUCGUGAAGACGAAACCUAGCGGAAGCGAGGCCGAUAAAGCGAAGAAAUGGCACUUUUGGGACCAAAUGCAGUUUUUGGAUCUUCAAGCUUAGGAUCCGCAACAAAGACAGCGUAUAAUUGUACUUCUGGGAAAAGGAGAAAGCGCAAAGGUUACGAGCAGUUCAUCAAACAGCUAAGCGAAUCGCAGCGCAGAGACGACGAAUAAGCAGCUGAAACGUCGAAUGUCCUGAGAGGUUUCUUCGCAGAACAUGGAAAGCAGGGGAAAAAGGUUCCUACUACGGAGGAACUUUUUUGUGACUUCGUCUUGAGUACUCUGAAUUCGACCACCGCCGUGCAGAAGGAGCGCAUCAAGAAAGGCAUUCAGAAUGUUAUCGCGAAAGAGCUACUCAACCUUGAAAGCAGUAUUGAACGCACAGGAACCGAGUAAACGCAACGACAGAGAGUCGGCACAAGAAUCUCGAGAGACAGAAAUUGUAUUGGAACGGACUCAAUCGCGAUAACUUGUAAUGCGAUCUGUGUAAACUUACAUUAUCCUGCAUAUUUGUUUUAGUAAAAUAAGCCAUUUAUUUGUACAGUGGAUUUGAAAAAAUGAUGGAAUUUAUCGUUUUAUAUGUUGCAAACUUUUCACUUUUUUGUACGACGCCAUGGCGCUUAUUGUUUUUUAUUAUCACUAUACGAUCAAAACCGAAAUAUGCCAUAUUACAAUUUAUUAUUGUCACAAAAUA